UANGCGUGGAAUUCUGCCCUUGGGUUCGGAAUAACAGUUGGAAACGACUGCUAAUACCGGAUGAUGACUUCGGUCCAAAGAUUUAUCGCCCAGGGAUGAGCCCGCGUAGGAUUAGCUAGUUGGUGAGGUAAAAGCUCACCAAGGCGACGAUCCUUAGCUGGUCUGAGAGGAUGAUCAGCCACACUGGGACUGAGACACGGCCCAGACUCCUACGGGAGGCAGCAGUGGGGAAUAUUGGACAAUGGGCGAAAGCCUGAUCCAGCAAUGCCGCGUGAGUAUGAAGGCCUUAGGGUUGUAA
rnacentral:rRNA from 1 species